CGAGACUCUUCUCCUCUACCACUUCGUCUUCUCUCCAGUGAAACAAUUUCGACUGAAUUCUAAUCCAUCCAUCAAUACUCUACAAUCAAUUACAUCUCCUUCUUUUACUCCUUCUUCUUACUUCCGUGGUGUCAAACUCAGAGCAGGAACCAUCAACACAGCCAAUAUCAAAGCUUGAGUUUGAUUUUGAGAGAAAGAAGUUGAACAAAGAUGAUGUCAGAGAAUUAAUCUACCGAGAGAUAUUCCUCAGAUGCUGGAGGAAUACAAGCACGAUGGUGAUCAGCUUAGCUUCAUGUACCCUAGUGGGGUUGAUCGAUUCAAGAGGCAGUUUGCUCACCUUGAAGAGAAUCAAGGUAAACCAGGGGCAGGAGCAGGAGGAGGAGGAAGUACUGCAAUGCAUAGACACCAUGCUUCCUUGCCAAGAUAAUGUCUUUUCACAGAAUCUCUUGCUUUGCUCUCUCUUUCUCUGAAAGCAUUGGGCUUCUCUGUGAUUGUGUCUUGCAGAGAGAGAGAGUUUCUGCUCAGAGUGGUCAACAGCUGCUGUGGCUUCAACUUUGGAAUCUGAGGAACCAGACAAUGGAGAAGGUUACAGUGCUUGUAGCCUCAUGAAGAGUUCGAGCAUCAGCGGUUCUAAAUGCAUUGGUGUCCAAUCUAAAACCGACAAAGAGGACACCAUAGCUGAAGAAGGAGAUGGUGAAUCAGUGGCGGAGCUUACUGAAAGAGUUGCUUCUCUAUGUGAUUCUUAAAACGUUUUUUUUUUUUGGCGUUUGGUGAAAGUUUUCUGGUGAAAACACCCACCAUGUUGCUGGUUACGGCCGUUAACGCAAAGACUCUCGGAGGGACCUGAGAAGGAAAUCAGAUUUUGGGAAAAAUUGACAGUGAGAUGAGACUAGGAUUAAGAUGGGAACAAAUACGAGACUAGAAUGGACCGGUGAAUUUUUGAAAUAUUUUGAAGUAAGCCCACACGUUAUAAAGAAGUGUUAGUAUUUUAGGUUUUUGUGAACCUUCGGGUUUAUACAAUAAAUACAAACACUUCGUCAUCGUUGUAAAAGUGUACACUUGAUGAUUAUAAUAUUUUUUCCCUU